GCCAGCAUGGCAUAGUGGUUUGAGUGUUGAACUACAAUGCUGAAGACCAGGAUUCGAUUCCCUGCUCAGUCA